rnacentral:lncRNA from 1 species
AUGGGCCUGAAUGUUAAGUAUUUAUCCUCAUUUAAACAAGUGAAUUUAGACCAGAAUUCAUUAAUGGAUUGUGAAUGGCUUCUUUUGUAGAUCUGGACAGAUCCUCAAAGGAUGCCUUUUUAUGUCUUAGCCAACAAAGGAAAAUAAAGGACAGGGAGCCAGGAAACAAGCAGACGAUUCAGGAGGAAAUAUUUCUGGGGAGAAAACUAAAGCAGCAAAAGGGAAAUGAAGAGAGCUCAGUGAGUGUGAGUGAUGGAGGUAAGACAGCCAGAUCAGCCAAGCUUCUUAGCAGAUAUGACAUUUGAUCAGAGGCCAUUAAGUUGCUUUGCCUUGAACUCUGCUUUGUCCUGUAUUUUAUUUUCCAG